UACGUAGGGGGCUAGCGUUGCUCGGAAUCACUGGGCGUAAAGGGUGCGUAGGCGGCCGUGUAAGUCUGGCGUGAAAGCCCCGGGCUCAGCCCGGGAAGUGCGCUCGAAACUGCACGGCUCGAGUGCCGGAGGGGAGAGUGGAAUUCCUGGUGUAGCGGUGAAAUGCGUAGAUAUCAGGAGGAAUACCGGUGGCGAAAGCGACUCUCUGGACGGUAACUGACGCUGAGGCACGAAAGCGUGGGGAGCAAACAGG
rnacentral:rRNA from 1 species